rnacentral:rRNA from 1 species
UACGGAGGGUGCAAGCGUUGUCCGGAUUUAUUGGGUUUAAAGGGUGCGUAGGCGGCCUGUUAAGUCAGCGGUGAAAGCCCGGGGCUCAACCCCGGAACCGCCGUUGAUACUGGAAGGCUUGAGUACAGACGAGGUAGGCGGAAUUGAGGGUGUAGCGGUGAAAUGCUUAGAUACCCUCAAGAACACCGAUUGCGUAGGCAGCUUACUAGGCUGUAACUGACGCUGAGGCACGAAAGCGUGGGGAGCGAACAGGAUUAGAAACCCCCGUAGUCC